rnacentral:rRNA from 1 species
AUAAGCAAUUAUACGGCGAAACUGCGAAUGGCUCAUUAUAUAAGUUAUCGUUUAUUUGAUAGCACCUUACUACUUGGAUAACCGUGGUAAUUCUAGAGCUAAUACAUGCUAAAAAUCCCGACUUCGGAAGGGAUGUAUUUAUUAGAUUAAAAACCAAUGCCCUCUGGGCUCUCUGGUGAUUCAUGAUAACUUCUCGAAUCGCAUGGCCUUGCGCCGGCGAUGGUUCAUUCAAAUUUCUUCCCUAUCAACUUUCGAUGUUUGGGUAGUGGCCAAACAUGGUUGCAACGGGUAACGGAGGGUUAGGGCUCGACCCCGGAGAAGGAGCCUGAGAAACGGCUACUACAUCCAAGGAAGGCAGCAGGCGCGCAAAUUACCCAAUCCCGACACGGGGAGGUAGUGACAAUAAAUACUGAUACAGGGCUCUUUUGGGUCUUGUAAUUGGAAUGAGUACAAUUUAAAUCCCUUAACGAGGAACAAUUGGAGGGCAAGUCUGGUGCCAGCAGCCGCGGUAAUUCCAGCUCCAAUAGCGUAUAUUAAAGUUGUUGUGGUUAAAAAGCUCGUAGUUGAACCUUGGGCCUGGCUGGCCGGUCCGCCUCACCGCGUGCACUGGUCCGGCCGGGCCUUUCCCUCUGUGGAACCCCAUGCCCUUCACUGGGUGUGGCGGGGAAACAGGACUUUUACUUUGAAAAAAUUAGAGUGCUCCAGGCAGGCCUAUGCUCGAAUACAUUAGCAUGGAAUAAUGAAAUAGGACGUGCGGUUCUAUUUUGUUGGUUUCUAGGACCGCCGUAAUGAUUAAUAGGGACAGUCGGGGGCAUCAGUAUUCAAUUGUCAGAGGUGAAAUUCUUGGAUUUAUUGAAGACUAACUACUGCGAAAGCAUUUGCCAAGGAUGUUUUCAUUAAUCAGGAACGAAAGUUAGGGGAUCGAAGACGAUCAGAUACCGUCGUAGUCUUAACCAUAAACUAUGCCGACUAGGGAUCGGACGAUGUUAUUUUUUGACUCGUUCGGCACCUUACGAGAAAUCAAAGUGCUUGGGCUCCA